CCACUAGAUCAAUAUAGGAGUACCUGGCAGAUAAAUACGGAAUAAAUAGAAAAAUUAUUCGGGUUUUCGUUUUCUGAUUUCUGCGUUCCUCAACCCUAAAGUAAAGCAAAGCAAACCAGAAGCACUCAAAAAGCGUCGUAUAGUUUUCUAUUAAAAACCAGAUUGCAACAUGUCUGAUGUUGCGGAGUAUCGCUGUUUCAUUGGAAAUCUGUCAUGGUCAACAUCUGAUCGAGGUCUAAAAGAUGCAUUUGAGAAAUUUGGCCAUCUUAUUGAGGCAAAGGUUGUUAUGGACAAGUUCUCUGGACGCUCCCGUGGAUUUGGAUUUGUCACUUUUGAUGAAAAGGAUGCAAUGGAGGAGGCCAUCCAUGCAAUGAAUGGCAUGGAUUUAGAUGGCCGACCUAUCACAGUUGACAAAGCACAACCUAACCAAGGUGGCGAUCGUGAUAUUGAUCGCCCGCGUGAUAGGGACCGUGGUCGUGAUCGAGAUCGUCGUGAUUAUGGGGGUGGUCGUGGAUCUGGUGGUGGAGACUGCUUUAAGUGUGGUAAACCAGGACACUUUGCUAGGGAAUGUCCUGAUGAUGGUGGUAGAGGAAACCGAUAUGGCGGUAGAGAUGACAGAUAUGGUGGCAGUGGUGGAGGUGGAAGAGGUGGUGGGCGUUAUGGACCUGAAAGGAAUGGAGAUCGGUUUGGUAGCCGUAACAGAGAUGGUGGUGGUCAUGGGGGAGGUGACCGAUACAAUCGUGAUCGAUCUGGGCCAUAUGACCGUCGUGGUAGUGGAGGUUUUCGCUAAGGGUAGAAUCUGACUGCCACAGAUUGUGGAGGAAUGGAUGUGCUGCUUGUGAUGGAACCAAAUGGCUUGAAGUAUAUUGGAAAAGGAUAUUUUGUCUUCUUGGCAUGUUGGCAAAGUGGAUCAAUCUUUUGAAUUCAUGAAAAUUGGCUCUAAUAUUCUACUAUUUUGUGUUCGUAAGAUGUUCGAUAUAUGGUCUGAUGGGUGGUCUGUCACUCUUGAAUGCUAUUAUUGCUGCUGGUUAUCUGCUUUGUUGAUGGAAAUUUCACUGCCCUUAUUUGCUGCUGGAUGCAUAAUGAUUUCAUACACUGGAAAUUGCACAUCACAAAGUUUUGCAUUAUGUUGGGUGGUUUGAGGACAUACGGUGAGACCUUAAAAUUGGUGAUAGGAAAACCUUGUUCCCCACCUUCAGGUGUGCCUGUCAAUUGAGGUGUAGAGGCUGUCUUACAAGCUGUAUGUCCUAUGUUCUGGUAAAGAAAGAUUUAAACGUGUGAGUAAAUCGGGCGCCGUAAUUGGCCUUUUGGAUACAUAGUGGAUCUGUUUGCUAAUUGGGGGUAGGCUUUUAACAUAAUAAAAUUGAGAAAGCAUUUUGGACAGCAACAAGCCCUCUGGAAGUUAUCGCACUGUUAGUUACUCAUAGCUUCUGCAAGGUGAACUAAGGGAGGAUUAUGCCCAGUUUAAAAUCCUGGCAGUUAUUUAGAUACUCUUGGGGAGUCAGCAACUUUUGUCCACGAUCUUGUUCUGGUCCUCUCUUUGAUUUACUCUCUUUGGGACAAGAGCUUCCUUUCUGUUCUUCUAGUCUCCUGGCUUUUGUUGCUGAGACAUAUUUCAGUGGUCAAUAUGUGUACGAAGUUGCAGUGUUUUUCCUCUUUCAGUUCGUGGUUCUUGGUAACUGUGCCUUGCAAUCUCAAGGAUGGAUCAACCUUUCAUAAACUCUGUUUGAGACUGCGGCAUUUUCGAGUUAAAUGACUUGUCCCAGCAAUGUCAACUUGUGUUGUUGGGUGAUGAGAGUUCUCUGUCUGUGUAUCUUUUUUGUUUUUCCCAUUGGUCUAUCUUUUAUUAUUUUUCAUGUUAAUCUUUUAGACAAUGGGGGAACGGGAGUUUGGGCAA